rnacentral:rRNA from 1 species
AUUGAACGCUGGCGGCAGGCCUAACACAUGCAAGUCGAACGGUAACAGGAAGAAGCUUGCUUCUUUGCUGACGAGUGGCGGACGGGUGAGUAAUGUCUGGGAAACUGCCUGACGGAGGGGGAUAACUACUAGAAACGGUAGCUAAUACCGCAUAACGUCGCAAGACCAAAGAGGGGGACCUUCGGGCCUCUUGCCAUCGGAUGUGCCCAGAUGGGAUUAGCUUGUUGGUGGGGUAACGGCUCACCAAGGCGACGAUCCCUAGCUGGUCUGAGAGGAUGACCAGCCACACUGGAACUGAGACACGGUCCAGACUCCUACGGGAGGCAGCAGUGGGGAAUAUUGCACAAUGGGCGCAAGCCUGAUGCAGCCAUGCCGCGUGUAUGAAGAAGGCCUUCGGGUUGUAAAGUACUUUCAGCGGGGAGGAAGGGAGUAAAGUUAAUACCUUUGCUCAUUGACGUUACCCGCAGAAGAAGCACCGGCUAACUCCGUG